GCUCCCUCUCUCUCUCUCUCUCUCUCCCUCUCUCUCUCUCUAUAAAUAGAUAGAAAGAGAGAGAGAGAGGGAGAGAUAGGGAGG